rnacentral:lncRNA from 1 species
UUAUUGUUCACUAUAUAGUUUACAAUAAACUUAAUGAACCAUUUGGAUAGGGACACAAAGGUGAAGUCCUUGCCUAGUUUCAGUCUCUAGAAGUGGUUUAACACUUCAACACUCAAUGAUUCAAAAUCAUCAUAAGUCCAUGUUGAUGGACUAUUUUUGUCAACCAACCAUUAUGUUCUAAACAUAAUUUCAAACUUUCAAGAGUUGUUCAAGGCAACUCUCAUUUCUUCAUACAACAAUUUGUAAGUGAAGAAUCAUGGCACAUAAAGUGUCCAUGCCCUUGUGCUUACUUCUCAAGUUCCUUGUUCAUGUAACAAAGAAACAAGCACUAAUGUUUGCGUUAGCUAAGGGUUGUUCAAAGCAACUCUUAUUUCUUCAUACCACAAUUUGUAAUUGAAUAAUUAUGACAUUAAAAGUGUUGUCCUCUUUAUGAUAGACUUAUCUAACAUGUUCUUCCAAU